rnacentral:rRNA from 1 species
UGAGUAACCUGCCCUUAACUCUGGGAUAAGCCUGGGAAACUGGGUCUAAUACCGGAUAUGACUCCUCAUCGCAUGGUGGGGGUGGAAAGCUUUUUGUGGUUUUGGACGGACUCGCGGCCUAUCAGUUUGUUGGUGAGGUAAUGGCUCACCAAGGCGACGACGGGUAGCCGGCCUGAGAGGGUGACCGGCCACACUGGGACUGAGACACGGCCCAGACUCCUACGGGAGCAG